AUGCGAACAACAAAAUCUAUGCCACAACUCUUUUCAGUACAUCUAUGGUACCACUCAAAGGUGUCCUCAUUUCGGGAUAGUAAGUCCGAUGACAAGAGAUUCUACAUAUUUUCUCCCACAAAGGCACUUAAGUUGAAGACAUGUUCAAAAGAUGACCGUGUCUCUGUGGUCGAGGCCUUGGUCUUGGUCAGGAGUGUUUAUUCGCUCAGGUUGCUUAGUGGAAGAAUAACUUUGGUGCAUAGUGACAUUUCUAUUUUGACUGCAAGGAAUCAAAAUCGGAUGCACCAGGAGGCUUUAAACGAGAGUCUUAUACAGGAUUGA
rnacentral:rRNA from 1 species